CCCUGUUUGUGCUGGGACGCCUCCCUCUUCCCGCCCACGGCGACGCUGGCCUUGGGGCGCUGUUUCCGGGUCCUUCGGCAGGCCUGUUGAGACCCGCUGAGAGUGUGUUCACAUGUGUUUUAGGAUCAGAGGGCAUCCCGGCAUCUGUGGAAGUCUUCAUGCAGCUUCCCCCUGGAUCUGACCACGGAUUUUAUGAUGGCACGGAGUCCAGAGAAUCCUUGGAAAUGGAUUGCUCGUCUUUAAAACCAAAACACACACGUGCGGGUUAGCUCAGCACCCACAGCGGCCGGGGCCUCCCGAAACCUGACGUUCCAGAAGCCCGGGGCCCGUUGGCACAGAUAGAGGGCCUGGGCGCCGGGCCACGGUCGCCCUCAUCACCAAGAAGCUGCAAAGCCAGCGCCUGGACGACCUCGCCCACAAGAGCUACGAUGCCGGCCCAGUGAGCUGCCCACCCCGGCAUUCUGCCCAGAAACUCAGCAGAAGUGGCCACUCCUUCCCUUUUGAGACUAACAGUGAGUGUUUAAAAGCCCCGGCGGGUUUUCCGGGGCUGCUGGGGGCUGGGACCGUGGGCAGGGCCGGAAGGACACAGUCGCUGGCCCGGAGGCGAGGUCGCCCUCUGCUGGCCUUCCUCCCUGGGGCAGCGGCGUGGGUGGGGCCCGGGGCUGCCGCCCCACCUUCUGGAAGCUGCCUG
rnacentral:lncRNA from 1 species